AGGAAUUUUUAUUUUUUUAAUUUAUUUAUUAUUUAUUUUUUAUUUUUUAUUUUUUUUUAGGAAUUUUUAAAAUAACAUGUUUUUCUAUAAAAUCUUAUGAAGAAUUCUCCACUGCAAUAUUUGAGGUGAUUGACAGAAGGAAAAACAAAUGAAAGAAAAUAAGUUUGCUGACAAAAAGAGGAAUUAGCUUCUACCAAACCUGCUGCAGCGACAUUUCCCCAGCCCACACAUGAUGUACUUUCUUAUCUAUUUGCCAGUAUCCAUGUGUUUUGGUAGUGGGAAAGCUCCAGAUUGUAAAUGAAUGAACAGACAAGCAGAUUACUUAUAUCUUGUUCAAUGUCCACUUACAUGUUGAACUCCCCUGUCACAUUCACAGAUAAAAAAGAGAGAGAAUGGCGGUGAGGAGCAGAAGAAGAAGGAGAGACCCAGGCACCCUGUUUUGAGGAUAAUAUUAAUGAAUUUUAGAACUUGAUUAAAAGUUGAGCUGAUUAUAGACUCACUGGCUGUCCCAGUCUGCAGAGUAUGUGACUUAAUUUUUGGGUUAUAAGUUUGAGUCCCACGUUGAGAU
rnacentral:lncRNA from 1 species